rfam:Salmo salar isolate Sally breed double haploid chromosome ssa14, whole genome shotgun sequence.
UGAAUGCACUAACUGUAAGAUGCUCUGGAUAAGAGCAUCUGCUAAAUGACUCAAA